rnacentral:lncRNA from 1 species
UUAGAGGACGUUCCCUAAUUAAUUUAGUAAUAAGGAGAGAUAAUGGUGGUGAGAAGCGUCUUCCAUCUCCAUAACUAAUUUAUUGAAUCAACCCAAAAGAACAAAGUGUCUGUGAUCAAUCCCAACAACUAAAGUGGAUCCAAUACUUCAACUAGAGCUUUCUCAUUAUUGAUUACUUUUUAUUUAAUUAUUUACUUUCCAUUAUUUUUCUCAUUAUUAGUUUACUACAAUCAAUCUCAAACCCCCC